AUUGAACGCUGGCGGCAUGCCUUACACAUGCAAGUCGAACGGCAGCACGGGAGCAAUCCUGGUGGCGAGUGGCGAACGGGUGAGUAAUAUAUCGGAACGUGCCCAGUCGUGGGGAUAACGUAGCGAAAGCUACGCUAAUACCGCAUACGAUCUAUGGAUGAAAGCGGGGGAUCGCAAGACCUCGCGCGAUUGGAGCGGCCGAUAUCAGAUUAGGUAGUUGGUGAGGUAAAGGCUCACCAAGCCGACGAUCUGUAGCUGGUCUGAGAGGACGACCAGCCACACUGGGACUGAGACACGGCCCAGACUCCUACGGGAGGCAGCAGUGGGGAAUUUUGGACAAUGGGCGCAAGCCUGAUCCAGCAAUGCCGCGUGCAGGAUGAAGGCCUCGGUGUAACUGCUUUUGUACGGUAACGAAACGGUG
rnacentral:rRNA from 1 species